CGGGAACUCUGACACAGGUGCUGCAUGGCUGUCGUCAGCUCGUGUCGUGAGGAUCGUUGGGUUAAGUCCCGUAACGAGCCGCAACCCUUGUCCUUAGUUACCAGCACGUUAUGGUGGGCACUCUAAGGAGACUGCCGGUGACAAACCGGAGGAAGGUGGGGAUGACGUCAAGUCAUCAUGGCCCUUACGGCCUGGGCUACACACGUGCUACAAUGGUCGGUACAAAGGGUUGCCAAGCCGCGAGGUGGAGCUAAUCCCAAUAAAACCGAUCGUAGUCCGGAUCGCAGUCUGCAACUCGACUGCGUGAAGUCGGAAUCGCUAGUAAUCGUGAAUCAGAAUGUCACGGUGAAUACGUUCCCGGGCCUU
rnacentral:rRNA from 1 species